rnacentral:misc_RNA from 1 species
GAUGAAGAACGUAGCGAAAUGCGAUAAGUAGUGUGAAUUGCAGAAUUCAGUGAAUCAUCGAAUCUUUGAACGCACAUUGCGCCCCUUGGUAUUCCAUGGGGCAUGCCUGUUCGAGCGUCAUUUGUACCUUCAAGCUCUGCUUGGUGUUGGGUGUUUGUCCUUGCUCUAGUGGCGGGACUCGCCUUAAAGUAAUUGGCAGCCAGUGUUUUGGUUUUGAAGCGCAGCACAAGUCGCGAUUCUAGUCUAUACGCUAGUUUCCACAAGUCUUUUAUCACUUUUGACCUCGGAUCAGGUAGGGAUACCCGCUGAACUUAAGCAUAUCAAUAAGCGGAGGA